UACAGAGGGUGCAAGCGUUAAUCGGAAUUACUGGGCGUAAAGGGCGCGUAGGCGGAUCGUUAAGUCGGAUGUGAAAUCCCCGGGCUCAACCUGGGAACUGCAUUCGAUACUGGCGAUCUAGAGUGUGUAAGAGGAUAGGGGAAUUCCUGGUGUAGCAGUGAAAUGCGUAGAGAUCAGGAGGAACAUCAAUGGCGAAGGCACCUUUCUGGGACAACACUGACGCUGAGGCGCGAAAGCGUGGGGAGCAAACAGGAUUAGAUACCCCCGUAGUCC
rnacentral:rRNA from 1 species